GGACAAGAUAACUGGCCAAACUCUUCCGAAGUGUCAAAGUCAUGAUGUCAAAGAGAGAGGGGAGACCUGAUUCCUGCUCCAGGACACCUCAGAGACAGGACAACUAAAUGAAAAUGUCUACUAUGGACUCACUGUGGAUCUUGUGAAGUUUGGCAUUUUCGUCCACCAGGUUAGAGAUAAACAUGUGCAAAAUGCUUGAUAAGACAAUUCACAAGCAAGAAUUUGAUCCAAAGGAACUGAUAAGAUGCUGGAGAAAUGUAUGAAAAACUCUUCAUACUACAGCAGGAAAAAAACUGUAGAACAAUUUAACCCGUGGAAUUAUUGGAAGGAAAGAGGAACUGUCAUUAUACCCAAGAAAAUCUCAGUUGGAUAUCCAAAGAUGUUUUAUCAUCAGUAACAGGCCAACCUCCCGAAGAUGCAUAAAGACACCUUUGCCGUUGACCAGGCAGACCCUGCAUCCACAGGACAUAGAGAGAAAGGUGCUCCCUGAACACUGAUCUGGAUAAGCAUUGCUGGGUCAGUGCAGAGGCGUCCAUUUCCCCAGUCUGCCGAGCUGGCCUAAAGCUGAGGACCUCUUAGUGGGAGCUGAGGACAUGUGCCUGAAGAGGCAAGCCCUUGACUGAUGGAAAUUGGAGUCUGAGUUCCAUGUGGGGGACUGGGAAGCACAGCAAGGUCUGAAAUGGGAGACCCAGGGAAGGGCAGAGAGGACCAAAGGAGGAAGGGGGUCUACAGUGUGGGAAACAGCCUGGACGCAACAGCCGGGGGAGGAGGCCUGCUCUGGCCCCAGUGGCCCCUUGUAAGCAGGAAAGGCAGCUGGCUAGACCUCUUCUGUGUUAUUCACUCUGAUUUUAUCCUUUAUCUUCCCCUCCCAACCUCACCUCCUUUCUAACCCCAAAGCCAUGCAGCUAAUAUGACUAAGAUUGCUGGGCGUUUGCUUGGAAAUGCAAAUGAGAAUUUCUGGUAGUUUCCUAGUUUCCUUGAUCUCCUUUGUCAAGUUUAUUGAGGGGAAAGGACUCUCGGUUAAAAAAAAAAAAAAAAGAAAA
ensembl:lncRNA LINC01792 long intergenic non-protein coding RNA 1792